rnacentral:misc_RNA from 1 species
UCUCUCUAAAGUUUUAGAGAGAGAAAUUUCCCUAAAAAGUUUUCCCACUGUUUACUUUCGCAGUUUAGCAGAGCGUCCCUUUUCAAUAGGACCGGGGAAGACGUCACUCUUCCUAGCUUGGCUUGCUGGUAGCUCUCUCCCACUUGGGUUGGGAGUAUAUAGGGUUUUGAUUUUGUUGGUUUCUGUAGAUCUGGAGACAAAGUGAGCGCUUGU